rnacentral:lncRNA from 1 species
GAAAACUAAUAUAUACGGUUUUCAUAGGAAAACAACUUGGACUAAAAUAAAUAAUAUUUUAUAGAUAAAUACCAAAAAAAAAGUUGAUGGCCAAAAUAAUGGGCCAAUUUUUGCAGUUCGAAGCCCACCAGGCCCAUGAUGUGCAUUAGUUAUUUAUUUAUUUAUUUUGAAAAAAACCCGAAGGGGGUCAAAAUUCCUUCACUGCCUUUCAAUAUUGGUUAAGGGAAAUUCCUAAACAAAUCCAUCACUUUGUUUCGCCAUCAUCAUCAGUCCAUCAAAAGAUGAAAUCUUUGACAACAAAUCGUGAUUUUAUUUAUUUUCCCGUUGACAUUUGAACGUGGAUCAUGCACUAACUUUUCUAAGUUCAAAAUUAAUGGAUGCUUCUGAUGUAUUGAAUUUGUUAAUCGCCAUUGGAGUUUGGUGUGCUGCUUAUAUUUCCGUCGCCAUUCUUGCAUCUUUCCGUUUCCUCAAUUCCAUGUGCCCUUGUUAAAUCAUCAAACUCAUUUGGCCCCGCAAGUGGUAAUAGUAGGUUACUAAAUGUUUGCCCAUCUUUAGUUGCUUUAUUUUUGCUUUAUAUAUUAGAAUUGCCUUAUUGUUUUCAACAUUCGACACCCAGAUGAAAAUUUGGAUAAUAUGUUGAUUGGAUGACCGGAUAAUGGCUAUCUUUUUUUUUUUUUUUUUUUGAAAAACUUCCCAUGUAUCGGAAUAUAUAUUUGUGUGUAGAUGUGUGUAUUCGUGUUGAAUGUGAUGCUGCAAAUCCUAUGCUUUGGGAAGAUGAUUUGAGUAUGAUCUUUAAGUUUAUCAAAGUUUGAGAUUACGAUGAAUGAGUGUAUCCCUAUUACUAUGAAUGUAUAUUGAGAGGAAAUGUGUCAAGUGGUGCUAUGCUCUUUCAGAAUGUUACUGCUCUAUCAGACUUGUAAUGCUCUUGUUUUCAUGUUUAAUGCUAUUUUAAUUUUUAUUGCAUCCUUGAUGUUCUUUGAGUUUUGCUAUGAGAGUUGAACCGUGCGUUGCUUCUCAAUUAGUUCCAAUAAAAACAUUAUGUCUUUUGAGUGCCUCAGUUGUGUUUCCAGAUAGAUCUCAUAUUUGAUUAAUUGUGUUACAUGUCAUGGUCAGGUUUAAAUCGACAUUAUUAAUGGAUUCUUUUGAUAUUUAAUUCAUUUUUUAUCUGUUGGUCAUUUGUCCCUUUAUUAAGGAACCUAGAAACCUCUACAUUGUAUGUUUCUUUGUAGAGGGUAACCGAAGUUAAUGGUUGGCUGUAUAUUUUUAUCCAGAAGAAAUUUAUUGUUCUAUUUUGAUUUUCAUUCUUUUAUGCUUGUAUAACACAUAUUCAGACUACUCUAUAUUUGUGUAACUAGAAUUAUCUGAACUUUGCUUGGAUUCCUUGUUACCAUCAUCAUCAUCAUAUUAUUUUUCUCACACUUCUCGGUGUUUGGCUUCCUAGGGGCAUGGCAUUUCAUUGAAACUAAUCCCUCUUCAGUUGGUAAAUUUUGGAAAAAGGAAAUAAAAACGGAAUUGACGAAGGGAUUUGCUGUGGUAGUUGUUUUAGUUCUAUAUGGCGGUAAUUAGUUAGGAUCAUUGUGCUCUUGGGGUCUUCUUUUCUUGCUUUAGACUUCUCCAUGUUUUGCAUAUUUACUGGUAAUCGACAGCUUCAGUGCAAGCUGCUGCAUAUUUGCUUGUUACUGCCGUGAGCAUAAUGUUUAUGUGUCUUGGUGUGGAAGCUUGGCAAUUUAUUAAAGAUGUUCACUUUUUACUUAUCUGGUGACAGUAAGACUAACUGUGACAUUAUUUCUUCGAAAUUCUCAUUAGGUUCCGAACAGUAAAAGAUUCCCCAUAUGAUUUGGUGAUAGUUUUGAUGCCCUUUCAAGAAUAGAGCUUAGCCUCCUAAGAGUUUAUUCAUUUGAUACGUGUAAUUAGACAAUUGAAAAUAUAGUAUUGGAGUUUGUUUUGGACUUCAAUCUCUUUUUUAUUUUAUCAAACGUGAUUUGAGUGUUUACUUGGAAGGUCAUUAGGCAAAAAUGAACUUGAAUGUUAUGUUUUUUCACCAACAUUUUGUAUAUUGUAUGACCAAUGUUGGCUAUUUUCCUUGCAGUUGGCAAUAUAUAUCCCGACUCAUCUUUACAACUGCAUCGAGCACUGGGUAUAUGCUGAUGUAAUGGUUACUUGCUCAACUUGGCAACUGGGAAGAUGCAGAUGUCAAUGUUAGAGAUUUUAAUCCAGGCAAUGAGGUUAUUAUAUCAACUAUUUUACGGAAAAGGGUUCUACAAAUCUGAAGCAAACUUUCCAACUGAGUGGUUGUUUGCAUGUACAUUUGUGAGGCAUUUUUAUUAAAUCAUGAUCAUGAGCAAUACCAAAGUAAAAUUUUUUGAGGCUUUGCUAUCUUGUGCUUUUCAAGUGUCAUACAAAUGUCUAAUCUUUUAUGCAAUAAUAAACUACCAAAAUAUUUAGGGAAAUUUACACUAAUAACCAUAAAAAUUUUAGUUUUUUCCAUCUUAACCUCUCAAACAAAUUUCUAUCAACAUUAGCCAUAAAAGAACCGUUGAGACCAAAUUACCCCUCUCUCUCAUCUCCCUUUCCUCUUCCUCUUGCCUUCUUCUCUCCAGUUUUGUACUAAUUUCAGCAUCCGUACAGCCCGCCUAGCAUUUCGCAACGUGGCUUUUGAUGGAAAAUCUCGGGGAAUUUGAAUUCCGAAAUUGGAUUUUAGAGAAUUAAAAAGUGGGAGAAACUCUAUGGUAGAGCUACUGCAUGUUAGUCACACCCCGAGUUUUAAAGUUGCGGAAUACCUAAAUGAUAUUCUACAGAGAGCAUUUAUAGACAUUAGUCUUUGAAAAAGCUUCAGGAGAGGACAUGCGCCCAUAGUUUUUUGCUUUGUGUAGCAGUCUCAAGCUUGCUAUUUCACUCUGCUGCCCAAAGCCUGCAGAGUUAGAUGCUGCGCAGAAUGGUAGUUGGGAUCUUAAUGAUUUUCUGAAGGGUUGCAUGGAGGAGCUUCCUGAGCAUAAAGCAAAAUAAUCAGUCGCUGAUCCAGAGGAUCAAUUGUCACAUAACAAAUGAAAAUCCUCGGUUCGUCAACUAAGUUUUAUCUACGUACACCUAACUGCCCAUUUGCCUUCCUUCACACUUCUUGGCCAACCUUGCCAAGAGAAAUGAAGCAGGAAUAUACAAGUCGUAUUACAAAAUUAUGGGCAAACCUUUCGAGCACACAAAUGGCAAUCCUUUGAAAAAAAAAAAUUCAUCCCACAAUAGACAUAAAUAUACUUGUCUCAGCGAGCUGCUCCGACUUGAUACGAUUUGCAAACACACAUCAGAAAUCCACCUAAGCCCUUGGCUCACAUAUAUGGACUCAACUGCUGCCAUUUUCUUCAACUUGUGAGCCUUCAAUGUAUGUCGGGAUCCCAUUUUUUCCAGCAUUCUCACUGUACGUCAAUAGGUCAUUAUACAUCGUUAGAGAAGUCUUGGAGAAUUCUGCCAACGACUCAAAAACUGUCGAAAAACCGGUCUGAAUUCCAUUCAACGUGAUCCUUUGUGUUUCUUGAAUGCAGUUUUGGUGUUUCUCCUUUUCAGCUUCCAGUUUCCUUCUGAACAUGUCCAACUGACCCUUCUUCAUUGUCAAAGCUUGGUGCAACUGGUGCCUGUCGCACCAAGACUUGGGCCUGUCGCACCAAGCUUCUUUUCGAUUAUAAAGAAGGGUAAUUUGGGGAGAAAAGCGUGUGUUUGGCUAAUGUUGAUAGAAAAAAGUUGAGAGGGUUAAUUGUGAAAAUAGCAAAAAUUUUAUGGUUAUUUUCGUAAAUUUCCCAAAUAUUUAACCGGUGGUUCACCAAGGCUUGGAUGGGCAUUGCAAGUUCAUGCAAGUAGGCAUGGUAAAGGCCUCAAAAAACUUAGUUAGAUAAGCCAUAAAAAGAAUGCAUUUGUAAUAUUGGAAGUGUCAGUGCUGCGAUCAGUUAAAUAAGCGCUUCCUCAUGUCAACACAGGGAAGAUUGGCAAGUUAUCCCUUAAUUUUCCUAAACUAUUUUUUUUAUUUUCAAAUAUGUUUUUGUUCAUAUUUAUUAUAAAUUAAAUAUGAAUGAAAUUAAAAUAUUAAUGAUAAAAAAUAUAAGUUUUAGCAUGAAUAAUUUUUUUGUAAUUUUUAUUUUUAAAAAAUAUUUUUUUAAUGAUAUGUAUUUUAUAUUUUGAAAAUCCAAUAUCAAUAAAAUGACCCAUUUAUGCUUCUUUUUUCUUUAGAUUUUUUGUGACAGGGAGAUUAUUAAAUAUUAUGUAAAUAAUAAAGGAUAGAUGAUAGCAAAAUAAAACCUCAAUAAAUCAAUAUUUGAUAAAAAUAAUAACCUUGAUUAGAUUAUAAAUAUUUAGGUCCCAACUUACACCAAUGUACUAAAUUAAUCAUCUUGCUAAAUGCAUAAGAUAACAAUUUUUUUUUAAUGGGAAUCCUAUAGGGUUCAAUGAAAUAUAUAUUAACAAUUAGUGAAAUACAAAUAAAAAAUAAUAGAUAUAUAAAAUUCAUAAUAUUAAGGAGUUUUUCUUGACAAUUUUAAUUUUUUUUAAUUUAACUCUUUUCUAAAAUAUACAUAUGAUUAAUUGAGAGAAAAAAUAUAAUGACUGCUGUAUUUAUAAAAUUUGUGUUAUGUAUACUUUAAGCAUCUGAAAUACUUUUAACUUCUAAGGUAUUAAAUUUGAAAAAUACAUACAUCAAUUUCACGUCUAUGGACAAUGCAUUUAUAUUAAUUUUUCUGCUCCUAUGUAAAUGUUCUAACAUUUAUUAAUUUUUUUUAAUAUACUUGAAAGGAAUAGUAGUCACGCCCAACGACACUAAUAAUUAAAACAUAAAAUUCUUAUUAAAUUAAUAAAUAUUUAUUUAUCAAUAAAUUGAUAAAUUAUUCAUUUAUUGAAAGUAUCGUUAAGAUCAUAUUUUUUCCCCUUAAUUCCAACAAUAUUAUUUACAGAGAUUUUCUGGUGUAUCAAUCUCACUACUUCAGUGUGAAGAAUCAGCAAUCUCCCGUCAACAUAGUUAGUUAGUCCAGAAGGAAUUUCUCUAGCUGCUGGUUCGCUAUGAUCACUCAGAGUAAAAAUAUUUGUUGCAUUGUCUAAUUUCAGCACAUUGACUACAAAAGAUUGAAAUACUGGAAUUUCAGCAAACAACCAGGUCUCAUCAGCAUUUGAAAGCUCAUAGAAACAACACUGUUCUCAACCUAUCAAACAAGCCAGGUUCUUUAAUUUUAGUAAUCUCUGAAAAU